rnacentral:ribozyme from 1 species
AACAUUUACAGUAUUUAACAACAACAAAAAAUCAUUCAUUUUUCAUUCUUCUAUAUAUAUAUAUAUAUAUUUUUACUUUAAUAAUGUAUUUGACAUGGAGCAGA